rnacentral:rRNA from 1 species
UGCCCUACGGGAGGCAGCAGUGGGGAAUAUUGCACAAUGGGGGGAACCCUGAUGCAGCGACGCCGCGUGGAGGAAGAAGGAUCUCGGUAUGUAAAAUUCUAUCAGCAGGGAAGAAAGAGGACGGUACCUGACUAAGAAGCCCCGGCUAACUACGAGCCAGCAGCCGCGGCAAUACGUAGGGGGCGAGCGUUAUCCGGAUUUACUGGGUGUAAAGGGUGCGUAGACGGCCA